CGCAUCUGUGCAUGCAGCAUAUCAAUAAGCGGAGGAAAAGAAACUAACAAGGAUUCCCCUAGUAACGGCGAGUGAAGCGGGAAGAGCUCAAAUUUGAAAUCUUAAAGGGCUUCCCUUUACGAAUUGUAGUUUAAAGAAGUGUUUUCUGUUGAGGUUUUGGUAAAGGUUCUUUGGAAUAGGACAUCAUAGAGGGUGAGAAUCCCGUAUUUGACCUUUACUUUCAACUUUGUGAUACACUUUCAAAGAGUCGGAUUGUUUGGGAAUGCAGUCCAAAAUGGGUGGUAAAUUUCAUCUAAAGCUAAAUAUUGGCGAGAGACCGAUAGCGAACAAGUACCGUGAGGGAAAGAUGAAAAGAACCUUUGAAAAGAGAGCUAAACAGUACGUGAAAUUGUCAAAAGGGAAGCGUUUGACACCAGUGUUGUUUUUCUGAAAAUCAAUUAAAGAACUGUUUAUGCUAAGUUGUUUAGACUUUAUCAGCUAACUGUUUAGUUUUGAGCUUUUCUUUAAUGCACUUUUCAGUUAACAAGUCAACAUCAAUUUCUUUUGCUGUAAAAAAGCUUGAGGAAGGUGGCUUGAGAUUCGUCUUAAGUGUUUAUAGCCUCUUGCCUAUGCAGUCGGAGAGAUUGAGGUCUGCAGCGUAGAUCCUUCGGGGCUAAAUGCAUUUGUGCUAAGUUAUAGCAUUUUAUAGACAACUUGUUGACUAUGAUUUGUCUUGUAGCUUACUCGCUUAUGUUAUUUUACCUACGCUUAGGAUGUUGAGUCAUCACACAUCUCU
rnacentral:rRNA from 1 species